rnacentral:rRNA from 1 species
UACGAAGGGGGCUAGCGUUGUUCGGAAUCACUGGGCGUAAAGGGCGCGUAGGCGGCUUUAUAAGUCGGGGGUGAAAGCCUGUGGCUCAACCACAGAAUUGCCUUCGAUACUGUAGAGCUUGAGACCGGAAGAGGUAAGUGGAACUGCGAGUGUAGAGGUGAAAUUCGUAGAUAUGGGGGAGGAACACCGGUGGCGAAGGCGGCCAUCUGGACGGCUAUUGACGCUGAGACGCGAAAAGCGUGGGGGAGCAAACAGG